rnacentral:rRNA from 1 species
AGAGUUUGAUCCUGGCUCAGGACGAACGCUGGCGGCGUGCCUAAUACAUGCAAGUCGAGCGGACGAAUCGAAAGCUUGCUUUUGAUUCGUUAGCGGCAGACGGGUGAGUAACACGUGGGCAACCUGCCCUGUAGACGGGGAUAACACCGAGAAAUCGGUGCUAAUACCGGAUAACACGAAAUGUCGCAUGACGUUUCAUUGAAAGACGGCGCAAGCUGUCGCUACAGGAUGGGCCCGCGGCGCAUUAGCUAGUUGGUGAGGUAACGGCUCACCAAGGCGACGAUGCGUAGCCGACCUGAGAGGGUGAUCGGCCACACUGGGACUGAGACACGGCCCAGACUCCUACGGGAGGCAGCAGUAGGGAAUCUUCCGCAAUGGACGAAAGUCUGACGGAGCAACGCCGCGUGAGCGAAGAAGGCCUUCGGGUCGUAAAGCUCUGUUGUUAGGGAAGAACAAGUAACGCAGUAACUGGCGUUACCGUGACGGUACCUAACGAGAAAGCCACGGCUAACUACGUGCCAGCAGCCGCGGUAAUACGUAGGUGGCAAGCGUUGUCCGGAAUUAUUGGGCGUAAAGCGCGCGCAGGCGGUUCCUUAAGUCUGAUGUGAAAGCCCACGGCUCAACCGUGGAGGGUCAUUGGAAACUGGGGGACUUGAGUGCAGAAGAGGAGAGCGGAAUUUCACGUGUAGCGGUGAAAUGCGUAGAGAUGUGGAGGAACACCAGUGGCGAAGGCGGCUCUCUGGUCUGUAACUGACGCUGAGGCGCGAAAGCGUGGGGAGCAAACAGGAUUAGAUACCCUG